rnacentral:rRNA from 1 species
UACGGAGGGAGCUAGCGUUGUUCGGAAUUACUGGGCGUAAAGCGCACGUAGGCGGCUUUGUAAGUUAGAGGUGAAAGCCCGGGGGCUCAACUCCGGAACUGCCUUUAAGACUGCAUCGCUUGAAUCCAGGAGAGGUGAGUGGAAUUCCGAGUGUAGAGGUGAAAUUCGUAGAUAUUCGGAAGAACACCAGUGGCGAAGGCGACUCACUGGACGAUUGUUGACGCUGAGGUGCGAAAAGCGUGGGGGAGCGAACAGG